rnacentral:misc_RNA from 1 species
AACGCACGAGACCUGCGGACCUGCGGAGGGAUCAUUAUAGAGUGGUAAACCCCCCGUAAAAAGGGGGGUACCUCCCGUCCUUUGCAGGCUCCUUUUUAAGGGGCUUUUUUGACUUUCUGCUUCGGUGGGGUUAUCCUACCGGAACAACCUCAAAACUCUGAUAAAAAAAAUAGUUCUGUCCGAGUGCUCUUUUAUAAUAAAAAAAACUUUCAACAACGGAUCUCUAGAUCGGAAGAGCAC